rnacentral:rRNA from 1 species
CGCGUAGGCGGUCCUUUAAGUCAGGUGUGAAAGCCCGGGGCUCAACCCCGGAAGUGCACUUGAAACUAAGAGACUUGAGUAUGGGAGAGGGAAGUGGAAUUCCUGGUGUAGCGGUGAAAUGCGUAGAUAUCAGGAGGAACAUCAGUGGCGAAGGCGACUUCCUGGACCAAUACUGACGCUGAGGCGCGAAGGCGUGGGGAGCAAACA